rnacentral:rRNA from 1 species
UGGGGAAUUUUGGACAAUGGGCGAAAGCCUGAUCCAGCAAUGCCGCGUGUGUGAAGAAGGCCUUCGGGUUGUAAAGCACUUUUGUCCGGAAAGAAAUCCUUGGCUCUAAUACAGUUGGGGGGAUGACGGUACCGGAAGAAUAAGCACCGGCUAACUACGUGCCAGCAGCCGCGGUAAUACGUAGGGUGCAAGCGUUAAUCGGAAUUACUGGGCGUAAAGCGUGCGCAGGCGGUUUGCUAAGACCGAUGUGAAAUCCCCGGGCUCAACCUGGGAACUGCAUUGGUGACUGGGCAGGCUAGAGUAUGGCAGAGGGGGGUAGAAUUCCACGUGUAGCAGUGAAAUGCGUAGAGAUGUGGAGGAAUACCGAUGGCGAAGGCAGCCCCCUGGGGCCAAAUACUGACGCUCAUGCACGAAAGCGUGGGGAGCAAACAGGAUUAGAUACCCUGGUAGUCCACGCCCUAAAACGAUGUCAACUAGUUGUUGGGGAUUCAUUUCCUAGUAACGUAGCUAACGCGUGAAGUUGACCGCCUGGGGAGUACGGUCGCAAGAUUAAAACUCAAAUGAAUUGACGGGG